GAAGGUGCGCUCAGACCGGUCGGAAAUCGGUCGUAGAGUAUAUAGGCAAAAGCGCGCUUGACUGCGAGACAGACACGUCGAGCAGGUACGAAAGUAGGUCUUAGUGAUCCGGUGGUUCUGUAUGGAAGGGCCAUCGCUCAACGGAUAAAAGGUACCCCGGGGAUAACAGGCUGAUACCGCCCAAGAGUUCAUAUCGACGGCGGUGUUUGGCACCUCGAUGUCGGCUCAUCACAUCCUGGGGCUGAAGCCGGUCCCAAGGGUAUGGCUGUUCGCCAUUUAAAGUGGUACGCGAGCUGGGUUUAGAACGUCGUGAGACAGUUCGGUCCCUAUCUGCCGUGGACGUUUGAGAUUUGAGAGGGGCUGCUCCUAGUACGAGAGGACCGGAGUGGACGAACCUCUGGUGUUCCGGUUGUCACGCCAGUGGCAUUGCCGGGUAGCUAUGUUCGGAAUAGAUAACCGCUGAAAGCAUCUAAGCGGGAAACUAGCCUCAAGAUGAGAUCUCACUGGAACCUUGAGUUCCCUGAAGGGCCGUCGAAGACUACGACGUUGAUAGGUUGGGUGUGUAAGCGCUGUGAGGCGUUGAGCUAACCAAUACUAAUUGCCCGUGAGGCUUGACCAUAUAACACCCAAGCAAUU
rnacentral:rRNA from 1 species